GGAGUUUCUAAAGUGCAUCUUCUAGUGAAGUGAUUAUGUAUUAUCAGAUACCUGCAUAAUACAUAAUUUAUUCUUCAAUUUACUAUGUGGCCCAAGUAAGCCAUGUCACAUUUUUGCCCUGAACAAACUAGUGUUAGUACUGUUUAUCAAGUGUGGAGAGUUUUUGCAGUACUUCUUUUACCAGUUAUAUGUAAACUCUUCUUCAGUUAGCAAUACCAGAAAGUUUAAAUACAUGUGAGUUUAACUACAUAUGUUACAUGCUUAUUAUGGUAUCUUGCUGUUUUAUUUCCUUGAGUUGAUGUAUCACUCUUUACUUAGAAGACAUAAGUGAUGUAUUCCAUUUGUAUGUUUAUACACAUAGGACAGAGCACAAAAUUUAUGAAGAGGACAUAUUGGAAUUAGACCAAUAAUACAAAUUUCUGAUACAGAAAUCAUGCUGAUCUUCAAAAUCUUGCUAGUUUCAUUACUGGGUGUUGGCAUCAGCAGCCAGAGAACAACUUCUGCACCAAGUCGAGGUGCAUGCAGGUUAUGGUGCCAGUUACCAUGCUUUUAUCCUUGGCAGACAGUGCAGUACUACUGCUGUGGCACUCAUGUGAAAACUGGCAGGUGUCCUCCAGUUCGGCCCAUCUGCCCACGAACAUUAAUGUCAUCUGUAGUCAGAGGCAGUACAAUCUUGUCUCCCUCAAUUUGUCAGAGUGAUCAACAGUGUUCAGGCACUGACAAGUGUUGCUAUGA